CAGUAGCCGCGGUAAUACGAAGGGUGCAAGCGUUAAUCGGAAUUACUGGGCGUAAAGCGUGCGUAGGCGGUUUGUUAAGUCUGUUGUGAAAUCCCCGGGCUCAACCUGGGAAUUGCAGUGGAUACUGGAUCACUAGAGUGUGGUAGAGGAUAGUGGAAUUUCCGGUGUAGUAGUGAAAUGCGUAGAGAUCGGAAGGAACAACUGUGGCGAAGGCGACUAUCUGGGCCAACACUGACACUGAGGCGCGAAAGCGUGGGGAGCAAACAGGAUUAGAUACCCCAGUAGUCCCUGUCUCUUAUAC
rnacentral:rRNA from 1 species